GGAAGGGUGCGAGAGUGGUUGAAUCGACCGGUCUCGAAAACCGGAAUGGCCGCAAGGCCAUCGUGGGUUCGAAUCCCACCCCUUCCG
rnacentral:tRNA from 1 species